GAUCUUGCUUACUCUUGCCAAAUUCUCCAAAGUUGCCGAUCCCAUCUUUGAGGGUAUGAAUGCCAAAGUGUUUUUUAGUUUUUUUUCCCGUGCAAUAUGAAAACUAGUUGUUGCUUAACUAACUUGUCCUUAUCCUAAUUAAAGAAAACGUCCUUGUUUAAUUUGAAAACCACAAUUUAUAUAUAAAAAAUGGUUGUUGUACUUUCCAGGCGAGGUCCAUUGGAUCCAGCUGACCACCCCAUGCAGCCCUGGUCGGGUCAUUACUCUCCACCUCCCCAGACCCAACAAGCAUACCCCCAGUCCCCAUCCUACCACAACCCCAACUCUGCACCACCUUAUUCGGGCUACCCACCUGGCCAGCCAUAUGCACGGCCAGUGGACCCUCGGGGCAUGGACCCAGGGUACUACCCUCACCCAAGCUCCCAGCAGAGAGGCCCCUUACGGCAGGAUGUGCCCCCCUCUCCCAUCCCCCCUCUCCGUGGUCCACGGUACGACACUAUGACAAGAGGAUCAGGGGGAGGAGUCUACAGGUAGGGGAUUUGUGGAAGAACAUGAUUCCAGGCACAUGGUGAAUCCUAGUCCAGACCAAUAUGGCUACACUGGGGAGGGAGGAAGACAGCAACCGCAACACCAAACCAACCAGAGACAGAAGAAUGCCAUGACUGCAGCCGUGUAGACUGAUCAGUUCCAGAGAUGAAAAUGAGCAGAAUGCUUACUGCUUUGUGUUGUUUUCGCUGAUGCUGAUGCUUCUGGUACUGAAAAUGAAACAGAACUGACACCUCUAAAUGGUGUUAUUUGAAUCACCAUCAUUAUCAAACAUUGUCUGAGCUGUUUGAAGUAUAUGGUAAUACACAGACAAGCAAGGUAAAGGAGGUUAAUUAUAGAGUGGCCAGUGUGUGCAUGGUAUCUUGUUCUUUGAAGUCAUUUAAAUUGCUUUGAAUCUUCAGAGAGUACAAAUUGGCAGGGGUUUUACAAUUGACUGUGCUCUGCGCUACAAAGGUUUUGGAUCCAUUUAAAUGAAGGCAAUAAAGAAAUACAAGCAGCUCUACUCAUAUUAAAUUAGGUACUUUCAUUUCUACUGCUGCAUGAGCAAGACAAAUGAAUGUUUGAAAACUAACAUGUAACAUGUUUUGCUGCCCUGUGGCCAUACUGUAUGUGGCCUAAUAACAGAAAUCAGUGGCACACUAAAGGGUCAGUAUUUUGGUCGGUUAAUCCCAGAUUUUAAAUUCAUGUUUACAUGAAAGCGUUUGGCAGGGUUUCAGCCACCUCUCAAAGUUGAGUUGAGAGAAGUGAAAAUGUUCCUGUGUUCUAAACCUGUGUGGAAAGCAAGAAGUCUUUCUUAACUUUGUAAGUAACCACUACUUAAAACAAAUUCUGCAUCAAUAGACAGUAUAUUGAUCCAUCCCAAGUUCAUAAAAAAAACUCUAAAAAGCGUUUACAUUUCAGCCACGGAUAUGUUUUUAUCUAAAGUAAGUAUUUUUCGUCUGAAUUCCCCAAGCAGGGAAAACUCCCCUUUGUAAAAUAACGUGUUUUAUACUGGUGACUAAUCUGACGUUUAAAUGACAGUAUAUUUUUUAUCAAUGAUUUUUAGAAAGUUUAACAUGUCACACCAGGGCUCAGUCCCAAUAUACCCCUUGUCCCAAUAUAACCACUUAGCCCUACCCCUACAUUUUGAGCGUUCACGUCUAGGGGUAAAUUUGUCAUGAGAAAUUUCCCAGAAUGCCUAUCCUUUACAUCGGCGUGUCUGUAACUACCGUCAAUGUCUACUGAUGACGUAUCAGGGUCUUAAAGGGUCGUCCCAUUAAGUAGGGGGAGUUUUCAACACUACCCCUUAUAACUCUGUUCAGAGGCGGAAAUGGACACACUAGGUACUGAGCCUUACACUAUGAAUUAACUUUUGGUCAAUUCUUUGAAUUAUAAAAUUUAAUAAUGUGUUUUAUACAGAAUGAUUUGAUUACCUUUCAUUUUCAACCAAAAUAUUUCUCUCAGCAGAGAUGAGUAGCCCAGGACUGGACAAAGUAGUCUGAACAAUGUCUGGAUUGUACAGCAUGUACAGAUGGCCCUGUUCCUUUUUUUAAAGUGAUCCUGUGAAACACUUCGACUGUAGAAGUACUGAACCUCCAAAUAUCAAUCAUUUAAUUACUCUCAAGAAAUCUUAUCUGGAAUGAAACUGCAUUUAUCUUUGAAGAGAAAACUUUGUUUAAACUUACUUCUAUUUGAAUGUAUGAAAACUUCUUGGAUUAUCUAGUCACAGUUAUUUGUAUUUAAUCCACGGAGUCUAUCUGUGAAAAACCUAAUUGGUGAGAGUUUUCUCUUUUCACAAGAUGAGAGCCACAUUUUCUAACUCUUGAAUCAAUCUUCUACAAACAUUGACAUCAUGGAUGAAACUUUUUAAGUUUGGAUGAGUUAUGGAUGAAACUUUUUAAGUUUUUAAGUUUCAUCCAUUGAAUUAAUAUGAAAGGACAGGAAGUAGAAUCUAAGCAACAUAACACACGCAGCAAAGCAACACUUAAUUUACACCAUAGUCGAUUUGUAUGGCGGCCUUUUCCUCUACUGAAAGUAUAAUCUCUUUAUAACAACCUCGAUGCAUGUGAAAAUUGUUCUUUACCUAACAAAGAGCAAUGUAUCAUUGUGCGAUGUGAGAAAUGAGAAAUGAGCAAAAAAGCCAAUAAUGUUGGUAAAGUUGAUUACUACACAUCGUUUAUAACCACUUUCCACUUAGAUGGACCACUGUGUCGUGUAUUAGUCCUGUACCAUUUUUACACUAGAGCAGAGUAGUUCCUGACCAUAAAAACAUUACUGUUUAAACAAAAGACAAAAAAAGUCUCUCUUCUUUUGGCAGAUGUCCAGUUUCAAACUCAUUUUCACUCUGUAAAACCUUUCAGCCUCUUUUUUUUCUUUGUGAUGUCUGUGUAUGCCAUGUACUGUAGUUGGAUGUAAUGGAUGAUCACUGCACAUAUCUGUGACCUGGUGGUGUAGGCGUCACUGUGUGCUAAAGUGGACACAAGGCCUGUUGAAACAUGGAUUGAGCCUCUGAGUGCUCUUUUUAAUGCUGCACCAAUGGUUGAUAUCCAUUUAGCCACUUACUGAACCACCAAUUAAGUGUAACUAAAGAGUCAGAGCCUAGCUUAAUAGUUAUAUGUUUUAUCCCACAAAGCUCCGCAGUAUUCAUUUCAAUGGAGAUUAAACACUAAAAAUGACAUUUCAGGAUUAGGUGAAAUGCUUCUCUGUUAAUGUGACUGAGGAUGAAAUCCCACUGAAGUGAAUGUUGAGUGUCUUUUGACUGAAACCAAUGCAAAGAAUGUGAAGUAGAUUUCAUUUCAAAACCAUCUCAGUAGUAUGUUUGAUGGAUUUUGAUCGUGUUGAAAGAGGGAAGUUGCAGGUUGGAUGAGAUGAGUUAAAAAAUAGACAAGAAAAGUAGUGAAAGGACGGAAGAAAGGACCGGAAAUGAGGGUUUGGUAGUGAAGCAAGGAAGGGGGAAAUAAACUUUAGUAUGUAGGGAAGGAUGAAGUGUAUUGCUAAAAAGAGAUUAAAGAAACAAACAUUAGGCUGAAAUAAUAGAAGGAUGGAGGAAGGUGAGAGAAUUGGUAUGAUCAGAUGCAGUGCAAUGACCCAAAAGCCUUUGUGGUUUGAAUCGGAGAGUUUUCAAACAAGAGCAGAACAAAGAAAAAGGAUAAAAGUUCAUAACAAUCUGGGCGUCAGUUGAUCUUCAGUAGGAGGAGGGUCACUGGAGUGGGCUUGUAUUGAUUGAAUGUUGUGACUGUGGGAAUUACUAACAAAUACUUUCUUGUGCUGUUAUGAAUUUAAAGAACCAGUUUGAAAAAUGAGACUUUCAAAUAAUACUGUCAAAGUAUAAUGAAUGUACCAAAAUAUGCAAUAUUUUAUGGAGGUUGGCUUGGUGGUCAACUCGCAGAGAGCUAAUGUCAAAACAAUCCAAAUGCUUUAUGAGCGCAUUCUCUCCAAGUUAUUAUUCAGUGCGUUUACAUGCGGUUAGAAAACUUCAAUUUAUUGUGUGCUGUCUGACAUAAACUGGAUUUUUGAAAUAAGCGUAAACAUGUUAGUCCGACGGUACUCAAUUGAAUUACUAGAAGUUGGACUGAAACACCUAGAAAAUGAAUGAAUAAUGCAGCUGUAGGUUGAAUAAAUGUUGCGUAUAAACACCUCAAUCAGACCCAAACUGGACUAGGUGUUCUGGACAUGCUCCACAGUCCCCACUCCGGACUUUUACCCCGGAAUUUGAUAAGUGUGUAACAUAGCAUCACAUAUCACCAUAAAAAGGAUAGCGUCCAUGGCAUUAGAAUCAAAAGUAAAGCACAGAGUAUGUACGAAAUGUACAGAGCUGUAAAAAUGUUUUCAUUUUCACCGUUCGACAUACAACCACCACUUUGCCGUUUGCUAACUUGCUAACUCAUUAACAAGGUCAACCGGAAGCAGGUCCAAUAGUAAGGAGCUAAUAUAAUAUAUCGCCACCUUCCAUAUCAGAGUUGCACAUUUUUCACUCAGUAAAUCGAAUCUCCCUCUGUGCAUGUAUACUGGGACACGGACAGUAUUCCAAUUCAAUGGCCUAAUGGAGCUUAGCUGAGCCUAGCUCGGCUUAACUGUGCAUGUAAACAUACUUAUUGGCUCGUACAGAAGCACCAACAGUAGAGGAAUAGUGUUCCUAGCCUUACUCUAGAUGUGAAACAUUUCAAUAGUUUAAAAUAAAGUUGUUGUUUUGAAUGUACUGGAGAACAGUUAAAGUUAUAUACAAUCUGAUCAGAAAAUAGCAGAUUGUGUAUACUUGUAUUCUGAAUCUGUAGCCAGUAUACCAAACCAGUGUUUGCUGUGCAGAACCAAAAGGUCAGUUAUGAGUUUAGAUGAAUUCCAUCCAUUAAAGGGUUAGCAUGAAGAAAAGAAGAAAAUCAUCAGCUGGUGUCUCCUUGACUAAUUUGGCG